rnacentral:rRNA from 1 species
CUGUUCCCAUCCCGAACACAGAAGUUAAGCUCUGCAGAGCCGAUGGUACUUGGACCGCAGGGUCCUGGGAGAGUAGGACGUCGCUAGGC